CCUGCCCUGCCCGGGAUCACACAGGGCACAGGGAUGCUCCCUGUGCAGAAACACCUAAAAUAGGUCAGAAAAAAAAAAAAGAAAAAGAAAAAACAAGUUUCUAAUAGGUUUUUCCAGCGAGUCAACAUCAGACCAAGGAAGAACAGGAGCAAGGCAGAUCGUGCCGUGCCCCGGGACCAGCCGACAGUAUGGGCAGAAGUUUAGGAGGCAGGAGGGUGUGCUGAGGGAUGGGAGAUGAUCCUUAGCCAACCGUCCCCAUCCCUUCCCUGGUCUGUUCCUACAGCAGUGCGGGAUGAUCCCUGUCCAUGACCGGGCUGGUUCCCAUCUCCAGACCCCGGGCAGCCCGGGCACGGCCGGGAGCAUCCGGCAGCACCACCGGCUUGGUUAGUCGGAGCGAUGGGGACUCCUGAUGGCACGCUGCCAUUCACUGGGAAUCAAUUGCUUAAGCGUGUGCUAUUAUUAAUUAGUGCUCAUUAUGGUGGUUAUUUAUUAUUAAUCAGUGUUAACACAGUCCUCUCUCCUCGCCGUCCUCCAGCCCGGCUCCCCACUGCGAUCCCCGCUCCUUCCAGCCGCCUCCACCUCUAUUUUUCUUCAUUAACCAAAGAAAUGGAAACACCUUCCCAACUUCACUUAAAGAUGCUACGGGUCUAACGAGAUUUGUACCGUGCCAGUCAGGCUAACGAGGGAGUCGCUGCGAAUGGCACUAAUGAAAUUUCACAGAGCGCGGGCCGAGCGAAGUGCCACUGGUUUUGCUGCUGGAGUAAAUUGCUCACGGCAUCCCCUGCCUGCCCCAUCUGCAUGGACAGGGUUUUAGGGUGGAAAAAGGGAACCUGUCCUGGAAUAUCAUGUCCAGUGACUCGAGAAGUGCAGGACUGGUCAUCGCUAGGAUUUUGCAGGGAUUGCAUCAGUCCAGACUCUGCUGAGGACUGUACAGGAAAAUAGGUGGGAAAAAGGAGGCUGUUUUUCUGUUUGCCCACCCCUGCGUGGGUGCCCUUAAAGAGCUGGGCUGCCUUCCUGCCCUUGGCUUCAGCAAAAUUAAUUGGCAAUUACCAGAAGUCCAUAAAAACCAGCCUUUCUUGGGGAAGGAAGCUGUAAAAGCCGCGUGUCCGCAGCCAUAUUUCCUUCACUCCGCAUUGAUCCCGUGGCCUCUGCUGGCCACGGCUCGGCUGCGGGGCGAUGUGCUUGGCCCCCGCAGACCCAUCCCCAUCGAUCCCGGGGACCUCGGCCGGCCCGCACCCCCUUGCAGCCGGGAGCAUCGCUGACCCCCUGCUAGCACUGGGUGCAAAUUCCCAGACUGGUGCCAGCCUGUAGCAGUGUCACUUGUCCUCCCUCUCCUUCCUACCCAUCAGGCAAUAUUUAUAAUGAUGGCUGCCAUGGGAAAAAAAAAAAAAUCCCAUAGCUGCAGCUGGAAGGGGCACAUCACAGCAUUAGCAACCCUCCCAGCACCGAAAUGCCCCCGGGACAUGGCACGGAGGGGUGCCUGGCUGGAGGCAGGGUUUGGGGAGCAUCCUUCUGCGGGAUGGAGGGAUGCAGGAGGGCACGGCUGGCCUCUCCCACCGGGAUGGGCUGAGGCCAGCGUGAUGCCCCGUGAGAUUGGAGAGGCUGACGCUCCGGCGAGAGCGUGCGUGCAAAGCCCGGACCAAAGGAGCAGCUGAGUUUGCUGCUUGGGCCUGGAGGAGAUGAGGAGGGCUGGUGGCCAAGGGUGUGGAAAGGCAAUUGCCUUCUGGAAAGGCAAUUUGCUGCUGAUUUUGGUCCAGGGGAUCGCUCUUCUUAUGGGACGGUGAUCUGUGCAGUGCCGGUGGCCUCGCUGGGCUGUGGAGGGUAAUGGGAGCAGGGGAAGGGUUCCCACACCCGCCGUGAGCCCCAAAAUCCCUCCAUGACAUUUUCCAGUGCUGAAUAUUUGACGAAGGCUAAAAUACUAAUAAGCUGUAUUACAGCAGCGCUGCAUGGAGCCCAGGAGAGCGUUUUAGCUCUUUGGAUAUUGCAUGCUACUCCUACACUUUCAUUACGGGAAUUCCAUUAAAGGUAUUGGCUGGACCCUAAUGAUGGCGAAGGGGGGGAUGCGGUCAGAGUCCUAAUUUCAGAGUCCUGCCGGCUGCUGCCACGUCCCUGCCUGCUCACUCCCCUGCAACCGCAGAGCCGUCACGGGGCAGGUUGCAUUUAAAAGCCUAGAUUGAAUCUGGAGAUUUUUAAAAGCCCUCAGCUCCCAUAUGUGUCUGCUGCAGCGGAUGUGUUUAGUACGUUCCCUUUGCCUUAAUACGCACUGUUUGAACAAAAAUAAUGCUCUGUAUAUUUUACAGAGCUCCUCCACAUGCACAUUUUGUCAGGACUGCAAUAUAAAUAUCCCCACCAGCCUCCCAACACCCACCUGCCCAGACUGAUGCUUAAGCAAGAAAAUGUAAAAAUACACCCUCCGCGCUAAUCUGCUGCUGAUGGCAACAAGUAAGCAGCAAACGAGGCUGCCAAAACUUGCCCUUCCCCAGCCGGGUCGGUGCCCAGAAAGGGUCUGCUCCCUUUGCGGCUGCUGCACGGGUUUGCCGAGGGGACCUCGGGGUCCCCGAGCAGCCCCGGUGCUCGGUGUGGUGCCAUCACCGUGGCACGGGGCACGUGUAGCCAGUUAUUAAAAGGCAUUACCUGUCCGGUGUCAUGCUGUCCCCUGCAGAACAGCUACCUUUCCCAGGGACUCAUCUCAUUUGAAAAGGAGCCGGGAAGCGGCUGAAUUUCCACCCUGCUGCUCUCAGUUAUCUCUGCGAAAGGGGAGCCAAUUACCAGCAGCUGGUGAGAGCCUAAAAUUAUUAUUAAUUUCAAACAAAGCAUAUGCUUUGUGUUAACAAUCCUCCAUGGUGUGGCAGAAGGGCCAAUACCAUCCAGAUGGCUCAACGUGCAGCGGGAAUGAUUAAUGCACGGCUCUGCCGCCUUGCCGGGAGGUGUGCGGGGACGGAGGGCAGGGGCCGUGCUGCGGUGCCCGCCGUGUCCGACAUGAGGUGAGCCGGCAGCAGGAGCCCGUCCCAGGGUCACAAGCAGCAUCUAUCGUCGCUUAUAAUCAAAGAAAACCCCUGCGCACUUGAGCUAACGUCCUCCCAGUGUCCCCGCGCGCAGGGCAAGGGAGCAGGGAUGCUGGCAGCGCCGGAGAGCCGUGGGUCUGGCAGCAAGCUCCCCCAGAGAAGAUAUACGUGUAUAAGUGUACUAAUAUAAGUAUAUUAAGGAAGGUUUGGUUCCCAGGCUGGCAAGAGACCUGCUGUCCCGACAGACGGAGGUGAAGCAGCUCCUGCUGCUCAGCCCCGUGGGAUGCUAAAGGCUGGUGUUCUCCCUGCCUGCUCUCAGCUCCCUGCAAGCAGACUGCCUUACUGGAUUUAUGUUGGAGUAGAAGAUGAAUCAUUUUCCUCUCUAUCCCAGGCCUGGCCUGCAUGUGGAGAUGGGUGGGAAGGCAUUUUCCAGCUCGGCUCGAGGGUUUGCAAAGGCCUGAGCCAUCUGUGAGCACUUUGGCACCCAGGACUGCAGAGCACGGGAGCACAUUAAGUGCUGCUUUGCUUCCUUAACUUGCCAUGGGAAAUUACACUGAUAGGUGUUAAUGCAGAGUCCAGAGCAGCGUUUUCUCUUUGAAAUGCAGCAAUCGCAUCUGAAAUAGCUGGUGUUAAAAUAAAGAAUGGUUUCUAUUUUU